rnacentral:rRNA from 1 species
GGGCUCGCAGGCGGUUUCUUAAGUCUGAUGUGAAAGCCCCCGGCUCAACCGGGGAGGGUCAUUGGAAACUGGGAAACUUGAGUGCAGAAGAGGAGAGUGGAAUUCCACGUGUAGCGGUGAAAUGCGUAGAGAUGUGGAGGAACACCAGUGGCGAAGGCGACUCUCUGGUCUGUAACUGACGCUGAGGAGCGAAAGCGUGGGGAGCGAACAGGAUUAGAUACCCUGGUAGUCCACGCCGUAAACGAUGAGUGCUAAGUGUUAGGGGGUUUCCGCCCCUUAGUGCUGCAGCUAACGCAUUAAGCACUCCGCCUGGGGAGUACGGUCGCAAGACUGAAACUCAAAGGAAUUGACGGGGGCCCGCACAAGCGGUGGAGCAUGUGGUUUAAUUCGAAGCAACGCGAAGAACCUUACCAGGUCUUGACAUCCUCUGACAACCGUAGAGAUAGGGCUUUCCCUUCGGGGACAGAGUGACAGGUGGUGCAUGGUUGUCGUCAGCUCGUGUCGUGAGAUGUUGGGUUAAGUCCCGCAACGAGCGCAACCCUUGAUCUUAAUUGCCAGCAUUCAGUUGGGCACU